rnacentral:rRNA from 1 species
GACGAACGCUGGCGGCGUGCUUAACACAUGCAAGUCGAACGGAAAGGCCCUGCUUUUGUGGGGUGCUCGAGUGGCGAACGGGUGAGUAACACGUGAGUAACCUGCCCUUGACUUUGGGAUAUCUUCAGGAAACUGGGGCUAAUACCGGAUAGGAGCUCCUGCUGCAUGGUGGGGGUUGGAAAGUUUCGGCGGUUGGGGAUGGACUCGCGGCUUAUCAGCUUGUUGGUGGGGUAGUGGCUUACCAAGGCUUUGACGGGUAGCCGGCCUGAGAGGGUGACCGGCCACAUUGGGACUGAGAUACGGCGCAGACUCGUACGGGAGGCAGCAGUGGGGAGUAUUGCACAAUGGGCGGAAGCCUGAUGCAGCAACGCCGCGUGCGGGAUGACGGCCUUCGGGUUGUAAACCGCUUUCGCCUGUGACGAAGCGUGAGUGACGGUAAUGGGUAAAGAAGCACCGGCUAACUACGUG